CACCCUACCCCCAAACGAAAUCUAGCCAGUAGUCACUCUCUUCUCACACUCUCGCUUUCUGCACUCUCGAGGCCUGCGGCGAACCCACCUAGCGCCGACGAGACCGUUCCUCCCACCACCUUGCAGCGCCGCCGAACUCUCCCCCCUAGCGCCUCCGAAUCUUCCUCCCACUGCUCCCAGGACCUCCUCGCGAACAGAGUACAACGAAGCCCCAGCCCCAGCCAGCAGUGAGCAGCCCAGCACCACUCUCGCACCCAGCAGUAGCACAGCACCACCAACUCACCCAGCACAGCACCACGCCACCACCCAGCAGUGUUUCUGGCCACCCACAACUUAGCACCUCCCACCCAGCCACCGAUUCAAGUCAGAUAUGGAGCGGUAGCCACCGAGCCAGUAUGGAGCUUUCAAGAUCUUUAUCUCCUUUUGUUGCCAAUAUGACAGCUUUGACAAAUAUGUAAGUGCUUAACUCUAAAUCAGAGAACUUUAAAAUCAGUUUAUAUACUUAUUCUAUGGCUGCACCUACAGCUCGCUGUUAAAUGCGAUCUAUGUUCCCUCAUAAUGUGCUAAUGAAAUCCUUGGAAUUCAUGAAGAACAUCUAGCCUAGUUAGUAUUCACACAACAGGGACCAGAGUUGAUGCAUGACCUUCUCCAUUUAUUAUUUAGUUACACCAAUUAUAAAUUUAUUAUUCUAAAAUCAGAACUUUGUUAAUGGUAACAAAUUGAUGGGGGAGGAGGACUCUUAUUGUUGAAUUCCUUGUCUAUAUAGAUAACUUAUUUGUUUCUUUAACAUUGCCUGUGAAUUUAUGUAUGCAGAGUAGGUAAAAAAGAGGGCAUUAUUGCAUAGAAGGAGAGGGAAUAAUAAAAAUUUACACUUUUACAAAGUAUUAGAGUUUCAAUAAAUAGACAAAAGUACAAAUGAAAGAAUUUGGAAGAGAUAAAAGUACACAUCAAAACUUAAUAAAUAUCAGAGGUAUGUAUGUAUAAGCAAGUUGCUCAGAUGGCUGAACUGAAGAAGAUUUUGUAUGGGAAGUUCAAGGACUCGGUCAAUCUGGAGGAGGAUAGUAGCCUUCUUCUUGUUCAUAGGUCUUUUUGGGUUGAUUUGAACUCUAUUGGACUUUGGAAAAUUUUCAAUCAGAUUGUCCCAUGUUUUAUUUCA